AUGGCGGCGGGGGGAACUGCGGACGGCGGGGCCCGGUGCUACAGCCACAACGACAGAAGCUACAUCCGGUGGCGCUGGAGCUGCAACCGCAGCGACAUGGAGCUGCAACCAUGGCGGCGACCAGGAGCUACGACGCCGAUGAUGCUGGAGCCGGCCAGUUUUUUUGCUGGAACGGGCGACAGGAGGUGCUAG
rnacentral:rRNA from 1 species